GCCUGCUGAUGCUUCGGCCCGCUUCAAAACCAGCUUGUCUUUUUUGCUGGCGGUGGGCGAAAAAAAAAAGCCCCGGGCGGCCGGGGAACUCUUAAGGAGGGGGGUGGGCUUGGCGCGUUCUUGUUCGGCAAAGUGGUCUUGGUCUGGGGGAAGCGGUUUCAUGGAAGGCAAAAGCCCCACGGCCCAAUGGUGCAACCCCAGUGGCCCUGCUUGGCGGCUUCUUUCUUUGCACGGGGGUUUUCGGUGUUUGCCUAACGCGUGUCCCUGUUUGUCUUUUUGCUGUUGCAAUCGUCCCCGAUUUGGCUGCAGUGCGUUCUGGGGCUGUCGGUGGUUCGCCCGUGGGUGGAAUGGCGGAUGGCGGAGGAUGCGCAACAGUGGUUCCAGGGAAUUUAAAGAAGGGGUAAGACUGUAAAAUAAAAAGUGUCCUUUCAUGCCUUUAAAAGGCGCUGGUGCGGGGGUGCGCUUGUGCGGCAUGUGCCGCCGUGGUUUCUUGAAUUAUACAUGGGGGAUGACCUCUUUUUUUGAUUUGAGGGUCAACCGCGGUGUGCGCGCAGUGCGUUUGUGCGCGGCCUUCUUUUUUCUCCGGAAACAAGAACGCUGCGUGGGGUUGGGUUUUUUUCCUGCGGCCGCGGGCGCCGGGGGCGGGGCGCUCGGGUGUUCCCUCUGGAUACUCUUUCGAUUUAAUGAGCCCAUGCUUUCCGUAAGGGCUGGGUGGGCCGCUGGGUCUUCGCGGGGCUUUGCGAUUGUGUUUGUGGGUAUUGGCUUGCAAAAUGGUGGUGGCUUGGGCGGGUCAGGGGGAAUAGCUGAAUUUCUGCGAAGGCUGAAUCCAGGCACGCGCUCGUUCACGCGCGUUCUGGCAGUUUUGCUCCCAGCUUUGUGUCCAGGAAGGUGGGGCGCUUUUGUUUUUGGGCAAUACUCUAAUUUCGUUUUCGGCUUGGUUGGUGGAAGAGUGUCGAAUGUGCUACACAUCUAAGUGCUUCGAAAGAAAAGUGCCGUGAGCUGCAUCUCUCUCUGUGGUCAUGCUGGUUGCGCUUUUUCACUGUGCUGGUGACGGCAUUGGGACUGGGCCAUGCUGGGGCUUUGGGGUUGCCAAUGGCGCUGUGCAGCGAGGGGGGGGCAGAAGUAUGAAAAGAGUUGGUGGAAGUGAUCAUUGUGGUUUGGCGGAACAUGCGCAACCAUGGCAGCCCCACAUGCGCGAAUAAAGCUUUUUGCCGGAGCAUCAGCGCAGAGCUUCAAGCAAGAGACACACAGGGUCCGUGAAUAUGAGUAACACAAACUGCGAAACUUUAUAGUUUCGACGCUGCAAGGAAACUGCGGCAAAUGGUUCUAAACUGGAGCAGGUCAGCAACCCAGAGGCCUAGCAUUAAAGGACGCGUCGGCAAAGAGCCGCAUUCUGUUCUUACGGUUUACUUCUGCCCACUAUUCAUGCUGUCUCGUGAGUUUUUGAAUAUCUUUGUCAAAAACCAGAUUUUUAUUUUUCCAUAGCAGCUGCGACCACGACUAUCGAGUGGUUUCUAGGAGAUCGUUUCCUGCCUCUUUCUCAAAAGACCGUGGUACUACAGUGGAGUGCCAGCCAAACUAGGAACAAAGUUCUGAGUUUAGAAACGAAGCGUCCUGCCUAACUCGCCACGGGAGCAAUACGCAUUUAAUCUCGGCGAACGUGGGCGUUUUUUUUCCGCACUGCCUUUCAUCAAACUAUUUUGCCAACAUUCCACUUUCUUUACUUUUUUUCGCCUCCCACUUUUUUCCCUUCAG
rnacentral:misc_RNA from 1 species